rnacentral:rRNA from 4 species
UUAAGCGACUAAGCGUACACGGUGGAUGCCCUGGCAGUCAGAGGCGAUGAAGGACGUGCUAAUCUGCGAUAAGCGUCGGUGAGGUGAUAUGAACCGUUAUAACCGGCGAUUUCCGAAUGGGGAAACCCAGUGUGUUUCGACACACUAUCAUUAACUGAAUCCAUAGGUUAAUGAGGCGAACCGGGGGAACUGAAACAUCUAAGUACCCCGAGGAAAAGAAAUCAACCGAGAUUCCCCCAGUAGCGGCGAGCGAACGGGGAGGAGCCCAGAGCCUGAAUCAGUGUGUGUGUUAGUGGAAGCGUCUGGAAAGGCGUGCGAUACAGGGUGACAGCCCCGUACACAAAAAUGCACAUAUUGUGAGCUCGAUGAGUAGGGCGGGACACGUGGUAUCCUGUCUGAAUAUGGGGGGACCAUCCUCCAAGGCUAAAUACUCCUGACUGACCGAUAGUGAACCAGUACCGUGAGGGAAAGGCGAAAAGAACCCCGGCGAGGGGAGUGAAAAAGAACCUGAAACCGUGUACGUACAAGCAGUGGGAGCCUCUUUAUGGGGUGACUGCGUACCUUUUGUAUAAUGGGUCAGCGACUUAUAUUCUGUAGCAAGGUUAACCGAAUAGGGGAGCCGAAGGGAAACCGAGUCUUAACUGGGCGUUAAGUUGCAGGGUAUAGACCCGAAACCCGGUGAUCUAGCCAUGGGCAGGUUGAAGGUUGGGUAACACUAACUGGAGGACCGAACCGACUAAUGUUGAAAAAUUAGCGGAUGACUUGUGGCUGGGGGUGAAAGGCCAAUCAAACCGGGAGAUAGCUGGUUCUCCCCGAAAGCUAUUUAGGUAGCGCCUCGUGAAUUCAUCUCCGGGGGUAGAGCACUGUUUCGGCAAGGGGGUCAUCCCGACUUACCAACCCGAUGCAAACUGCGAAUACCGGAGAAUGUUAUCACGGGAGACACACGGCGGGUGCUAACGUCCGUCGUGAAGAGGGAAACAACCCAGACCGCCAGCUAAGGUCCCAAAGUCAUGGUUAAGUGGGAAACGAUGUGGGAAGGCCCAGACAGCCAGGAUGUUGGCUUAGAAGCAGCCAUCAUUUAAAGAAAGCGUAAUAGCUCACUGGUCGAGUCGGCCUGCGCGGAAGAUGUAACGGGGCUAAACCAUGCACCGAAGCUGCGGCAGCGACACUAUGUGUUGUUGGGUAGGGGAGCGUUCUGUAAGCCUGUGAAGGUGGCCUGUGAGGGUUGCUGGAGGUAUCAGAAGUGCGAAUGCUGACAUAAGUAACGAUAAAGCGGGUGAAAAGCCCGCUCGCCGGAAGACCAAGGGUUCCUGUCCAACGUUAAUCGGGGCAGGGUGAGUCGACCCCUAAGGCGAGGCCGAAAGGCGUAGUCGAUGGGAAACAGGUUAAUAUUCCUGUACUUGGUGUUACUGCGAAGGGGGGACGGAGAAGGCUAUGUUGGCCGGGCGACGGUUGUCCCGGUUUAAGCGUGUAGGCUGGUUUUCCAGGCAAAUCCGGAAAACCAAGGCUGAGGCGUGAUGACGAGGCACUACGGUGCUGAAGCGACAAAUGCCCUGCUUCCAGGAAAAGCCUCUAAGCAUCAGGUAACAUCAAAUCGUACCCCAAACCGACACAGGUGGUCAGGUAGAGAAUACCAAGGCGCUUGAGAGAACUCGGGUGAAGGAACUAGGCAAAAUGGUGCCGUAACUUCGGGAGAAGGCACGCUGAUAUGUAGGUGAAGCGACUUGCUCGUGGAGCUGAAAUCAGUCGAAGAUACCAGCUGGCUGCAACUGUUUAUUAAAAACACAGCACUGUGCAAACACGAAAGUGGACGUAUACGGUGUGACGCCUGCCCGGUGCCGGAAGGUUAAUUGAUGGGGUUAGCGGUAACGCGAAGCUCUUGAUCGAAGCCCCGGUAAACGGCGGCCGUAACUAUAACGGUCCUAAGGUAGCGAAAUUCCUUGUCGGGUAAGUUCCGACCUGCACGAAUGGCGUAAUGAUGGCCAGGCUGUCUCCACCCGAGACUCAGUGAAAUUGAACUCGCUGUGAAGAUGCAGUGUACCCGCGGCAAGACGGAAAGACCCCGUGAACCUUUACUAUAGCUUGACACUGAACAUUGAGCCUUGAUGUGUAGGAUAGGUGGGAGGCUUUGAAGUGUGGACGCCAGUCUGCAUGGAGCCGACCUUGAAAUACCACCCUUUAAUGUUUGAUGUUCUAACGUUGGCCCGUAAUCCGGGUUGCGGACAGUGUCUGGUGGGUAGUUUGACUGGGGCGGUCUCCUCCUAAAGAGUAACGGAGGAGCACGAAGGUUGGCUAAUCCUGGUCGGACAUCAGGAGGUUAGUGCAAUGGCAUAAGCCAGCUUGACUGCGAGCGUGACGGCGCGAGCAGGUGCGAAAGCAGGUCAUAGUGAUCCGGUGGUUCUGAAUGGAAGGGCCAUCGCUCAACGGAUAAAAGGUACUCCGGGGAUAACAGGCUGAUACCGCCCAAGAGUUCAUAUCGACGGCGGUGUUUGGCACCUCGAUGUCGGCUCAUCACAUCCUGGGGCUGAAGUAGGUCCCAAGGGUAUGGCUGUUCGCCAUUUAAAGUGGUACGCGAGCUGGGUUUAGAACGUCGUGAGACAGUUCGGUCCCUAUCUGCCGUGGGCGCUGGAGAACUGAGGGGGGCUGCUCCUAGUACGAGAGGACCGGAGUGGACGCAUCACUGGUGUUCGGGUUGUCAUGCCAAUGGCACUGCCCGGUAGCUAAAUGCGGAAGAGAUAAGUGCUGAAAGCAUCUAAGCACGAAACUUGCCCCGAGAUGAGUUCUCCCUGA